CAAUACUCUCAUCUCUCUCCCCCAAUCCCCUCCUCUCUCUCUUCUCCCCCAAUCCCAUAGCGCCUCCCGCGGGUCUUGCGCUCGAUCUCGCCGGCGAGCAGCCCAUUGCGCCGCCUGCGGGUCUCCUCCACAUGUCGGCCGCCUCGGUGGGCGAGCAGCAGAAGAACGCGAUGGGGCGAGCGCUUGACGAGCGGGAGCUCCGUGGUGAGCAGCGGCCGCUGCAUCUGGUCGGCGGCGCGGCUGCACCGACGGGUGAAAACGCUAGCGCGCCGCCUCACAAUCCCGAACGUCCGUCCUCAUCACCUUCGUCCUCAGCUUCCAGUCUGCAAGGGGAAGAUGAGGCAGAGACCAAGAAGCAGAGCCCGCCUGCAGGAUAAAGAGGAGGCAAAACGUGAUUUUGAAGCAAAUCAAUUUCAGGCAGAAGGAACUCAAAAAUAGUGAUGGCAGGGGAUAUUACCAUAAUGCAAAAAUAUGCUGCAAGUCAAUUCAGGUUUUCCAGGUCAUUUUUAAUUUACAAACUAUGUAAGAAAUAGUGACCGUGUGUUAUAUAGUAGCAUCGUAUGAUAUCUUCAACAUAGGAAUUACUUGUAGAUUGUCCCAUAUUUCGUUAAAAGAUGCAUGGUUUCAUUUUACAUGUUAACUGUAUUUCAGAUUUCAGUAGUAUUAAAUAUGGCAGAAAACAUCGGAGGAGAAGACCUUUAUCUGAAGAAAAAGAUGAAGACCGCUGGCCAUGGCCAACAUUUUCCUAUGAAGAAAACAAAUAAGGUUGCGGUGCAAGGUGGUCCCCUGCAGCUUGUGGAGGUGGUUGGCCUUGGCCAGGACAAAUUGUCGAUGCCGGUAACCUCUCUAUAUCCACUCCGUAGAGUUGGUGUUCUUCAUCCCCUUAUCUGAAAAUUCAUUUAGAAUAAGGCCACUUGCGCAUCCCGGGCACCUGCAAGCAAGCUCCACCAGAAUCUCCGUUUCCACUUCAGUUGUAGGCGAAGUCUAAAAUAGCUCUGCGGCAUUCUGCUCUAUUUGAGUAUUGCAAAGCACUCCAAGAGGUCUUUGUUUUCUUUGCCGUUGCUAAAUUUAGCAAAUAUGUAUCAUUUAAAAUAAAUUUGGGAUGAUUGGAAUGCAAAAGUGGUUCUUCUGGCUACAGUUCCUACUUGUGCUGGUAUGGAGUUCAGUUCACCAUUAUUUUGUUCAUUUGAAUGACCACAGAGUGUACUAUUUUACCAUUUUCCUGAUGCAUCUAAGUUUUAUAUACAAAUAAAUUGUAUGUUUCUGCUGCAAUCACAUCUCUGAUAAAUCAAAAUAGUCUCUAUAAUUCUCCUAUAUGUUUUUCCCAUUUCGGCUGUCAGGUUGCAGGCUUGCAGCUUAUUUCUUUUGUUACUUUGGCAGCCUAAUUGGAGAGGUUUCCUGUGUAGCUCAGUGAGAGUUAGGACUGUAUUUUCCCUCAAACAAGAUAUCCCAUGCCUUUUUUCAUUAAUGUUUCUAUGGUUUGGGAAAGUCCAGUCUUUGGCUUUGGCUUUGGCUUUGCCUUGCAUACCACAUUGAAUCUCUAUUUUCUCUAUAACUCAUUAUCGUCAAUCGAUUUCUUAUCAUUAAUUUUUGAUGUGUACAGUUAGUUUAAUCUCGGCGAUGAAGGCUAAAAAAGAACUACCGUUUGCAAUACAUGCAUGUUUGCUAGAAUGGGUUUGCAAAGAGGAAUUUGGAUGAGUAUGUAUUUCUUGGCAAUCGGCUGCAGGUGUAUAUGCACCUUAGUUUGAGAGAUUUUUGGAUACCAACAAGAAACUGGAGGUCGGGAGAAAUAAAGUCCUCAACCAAAUAAGAUGUAUGGUUUCACCAUUUUCUAUAAAAUAUCUGCAUCUUAUAAUUUAGUGUUGUGAUGGUAAAAAUAAGAAGAAUUUGCAGUUAGGGAAGGAAGUCCAGGUUGAAGGACAAUAAAACAUGAUGUAGUGUAGCAUGUCUAAUUUUUCAAUUCGAACCAUUUAAAUGUAGAUUCAUGAACCAUUUAAAUGUAGAUUCAUGUGUAUUGUUUCCUUAUCAUUGUUUUAAAUUAAUUCCAAUGGUACUUGAGCACUUCUUGCGUAUUUUUUUACCAUACACCCUCAUAUAUUUAUAUCUUUUUUGUAUCCUUCUGUGACGUGGAUGUUGAUACAAAACGUGGAUAAGUUGGUGGCAGCCUUAUAUUGUACUGCACAUGAUUAGCUCCAAAGUUGAGUUACUCAACUAUAUUUACCUGUAUGGAAAACAAUAUCGAGAAUUUUUUUUAAAAAAUAUUUUCAUGUGUUAUGUUAUUUGUCAACAUAACCCCAGAUUUUGCGGCGUCGUCCUCACCGGAAGCAGCACCGCCUCUGCCCCGUGCGACAUUGUCGUCCCCAUCAAGCCGCACCAGAGGGAGAUGCUUAGCUGCGGCCACACAAACGGAUGGGGACGUCAAGCCAAGCUGGUGGCUGGUGGCCUACCAUCGUGUCAACUUACACAGAAUAGGAGCAGAGGAAUCUUGAGCGCGGCGUCCAGACCUGGAGUGGAGGACAUGGGUCGCCAUGAAGCAAUUGCCCCUUCGUUGUGAAGUUGCAGGUGUGUACAUAAGCUUUUUGUGUAAAUGCCUAAGAGCAAAGACCUCUCCUGGAAGAAUGCUCACAGCUCAGCUUGAAUUUGUAAGUUAAUUGUCCUCUCAGAUGCACCCCUCUUGAUGCUUUAUAUGUUUCAACAUGGAUUCUUGGUUCCUAUAAAUUUACAGGUUAUGAUGUUGUGAUGAACUUGCAGCAAUGAAGUGAUUUGGGUAACGUCUUGCUUUUUAAAAUGUCUUUCAUGUACUUCUGUGGCAUUGAAGGAGCGAGGCAAUUCCUCCCAAUAUAGAAUUUGCAGCGGAUGAAGAUGCUAGAAGUACAGGUUAUAUUGUCUUAUGAAUUGUCUAAGGAAGUCCUAUAUUAUUUAUCUGUUGCUUGACCAAUGGUUUGUCGAACUGAAACAGUAUGGCCAUGUGCCCAUGUGCCCAUGUUAUUUCUUUGUUUGCCAAAAUAAAUUUAACUUCCGAUCACAAAAUAAAAGAAUGUCCAAUGGAUAUCUCUUCGCAUUGGUUUAAUUCUGUAUCCUGAAACAGCUACUGAACAAUGACUAUUGAUAAAGCUGUUAUGAACACCCUCUUAGUUACAAUCAUAUUUUGUGAAACUGCUUUUACACCGACUUUCCUAGAACUGGUAAUGAGUAUAUAUUUUUAACGCUUAAUGCAAUGCAGAUUUGUAGGGUAUCAAGAAAGAAAGGUAUUGUUAGUUAUAUUCUGUUGUAGUAAUGUAGUGCCCGGAAUUAGAUGUACCAUAUUCUCAUUAGCUUUGGCCUAAAUAAGAACUAUUAGAAAGGUUUGGGUGUUACUUCAGUUACAAUUUACACUGUCUUCCUUUAGAAAAUAGUUAUCUUAUGGCUUGCACUAUUGUUCCUUUCUUCAGAGAUAAAAUGCUUCAUGUGGUCGUUCGUGUAAUUAAAUUGGAGAGAAACAUGAAGAAGUUUGAUGGCACC